UACAGAGGUCUCAAGCGUUGUUCGGAUUCAUUGGGCGUAAAGGGUGCGUAGGCGGCGCGGUAAGUCGGGUGUGAAAUCUUGGAGCUUAACUCCGAAACUGCAUUCGAUACUGCCGUGCUUGAGGACUGGAGAGGAGACUGGAAUUUACGGUGUAGCGGUGGAAUGCGUAGAUAUCGUAAGGAAGACCAGUGGCGAAGGCGGGUCUCUGGACAGUUCCUGACGCUGAGGCACGAAGGCCAGGGGGAGCAAACGGG
rnacentral:rRNA from 1 species